rnacentral:rRNA from 1 species
AUGCCGGGGCUCACGGCGCCAUCGGACUACGCGGAGGAGCCGCCGCGCCACCCGGCCCUCAGGAUCAACUCCAAGGAGCCAUUUAAUGCUGAGCCUCAUCGAUCUGCGUUAGUUUCAUCUUAUAUCACCCCAGUGGAUUUCUUCUACAAGAGGAAUCAUGGACCAAUUCCCAAAGUUGAUGAUAUCUCAAGAUACAGUGUUUCCAUCAGUGGCCUCAUUAAUAAGCAUAUCCAGCUGUCCAUGGAUGACAUUAGGAUGCUUCCGAAGUACAAUGUCACUGCAACAUUACAGUGUGCAGGCAAUAAGAGAACUGCAAUGAGUAAGGUACGGAAAGUGAGAGGUGUUGGAUGGGACGUAUCUGCUCUUGGAAAUGCAACUUGGGGUGGAGCAAAACUAUCCGAUGUCCUUGAACUAGUUGGAAUACAUAAACUCAGUUCAGUCACAUCUUUAGGAGGCAAACAUGUUGAGUUCGUCAGUGUUGACAGGUGUAAAGAGGAGAAAGGUGGCCCCUAUAAGGCAUCAAUUCCACUAAAGCAGGCAACAGAUCCUGAUGCUGAUGUGUUACUCGCAUAUGAAAUGAAUGGAGAGACCAUCAAUCGUGACCAUGGAUAUCCACUCCGUGUGGUCGUACCUGGUGUUAUAGGUGCACGCUCCGUAAAAUGGCUUGACAGCAUCAACAUAAUCAAGGAAGAAUGCCAGGGUUUUUUUAUGCAAAAAGAUUACAAGAUGUUCCCACCUACCGUAGAUUGGGACAAUAUUAAUUGGUCAACUAGAAGACCACAAAUGGAUUUUCCUGUGCAGUCUGCUAUUUGCACCCUGGAAGAUGUGGAUGUUAUCAAGGAAGGAAAGGCUAGAAUUGCUGGAUAUGCAGUCUCAGGUGGCGGCCGUGGCAUUGAGAGAGUAGAUAUAUCUGUUGAUGGGGGUAAAACAUGGGUUGAAGCUCAUAGAUGUCAGAAAAGCAAUGUGCCAUACGUCUCUGAUGGAGCUCAAAGCGACAAGUGGGCAUGGGUUCUAUUUGAGGCCACAUUGGACAUACCACCAAAUGCCGAGAUAGUAGCUAAGGCGGUGGAUUCGGCCGCAAACAUUCAACCCGAAAAAGUGGAGGACAUAUGGAAUCUGAGAGGAAUCCUCAACACAUCUUGGCAUCGGAUCAAAAUACAGAAUACAUCGUGCGUAUCUAGAUCCAAAAUGUGA